GACGAACGCUGGCGGCGUGCCUAAUACAUGCAAGUCGAACGCACUGGGGACGGGUGAGUAACACGUGGGUAACCUCCCAUCAGAGGGGAUAACACUUGGAAUCAGGUGCUAAACCGAUACUGAUGGAUGGACCCGCGGUGCAUUAGCUAGUUGGUGAGGUAACGGCUCACCAAGGCCACGAUGCAUAGCCGGCCUGAGCGGGUGAUGGGCCAAACUGGAACUGGGACACGGCCCAGACUCCAACGGGAGGCAGCAGUAGGGAAUCUUCGGCAAUGGACGAAAGUCUGACCGGGAAACGCCGCGUGAGUGAAGAAGGUUUUCGGAUCGUAAGACUCUGUUGUUAGAGAAGCGGUAUCUAACCAGAAAGCCACGGCUAACUACGUGCCAGCAGCCGCGGUAAUAC
rnacentral:rRNA from 1 species